rnacentral:rRNA from 1 species
GAUGAACGCUAGCUACAGGCUUAACACAUGCAAGUCGAGGGGUAACGAGAGGAAAGCUUGCUUUCCUUGUCGACGACCGGCGCACGGGUGAGUAACGCGUAUCCAACCUGCCCCCAACUAGGGAAUAACCUUGCGAAAGUAAGACUAAUACCCUAUAAUUUCCUCAGAUGACAUCUGACGAGGAAUAAAGAUUUAUCGGUUGUGGAUGGGGAUGCGUCUGAUUAGCUUGUUGGGGGGGUAACGGCCCACCAAGGCAACGAUCAGUAGGGGUUCUGAGAGGAAGGUCCCCCACAGUGGAACUGAGACACGGUCCAAACUCCUACGGGAGGCAGCAGUGAGGAAUAUUGGUCAAUGGGCGGAAGCCUGAUCCAGCCAAGUAGCGUGCAGGAUGACGGCCCUAUGGGUUGUAAACUGCUUUUAUACAGGAAUAAAGUUAGCCACGUGUGGUUAUUUGUAGGUACUGUAUGAAUAAGGACCGGCUAAUUCCGUGCCAGCCGCCGCCGUAA